rnacentral:lncRNA from 10 species
AGGGCUGCCUCUCCCCUGGGGUUGGUUAGCUGGGUAAAAUGAAGACUGGGAGGAACAACAGGGGUUCUCAUAUUCUGAAUGAAGGAAUGUGGAGGGGUUCGGAGGGGUUGUGUCAUUUGGCCAAGGUCCCUCUGCACCCAAGUGUGUGAAGGCAACGGCCUUGAACCUACCCUCCAGCUGAGUUCAUGCUCUUGGCCUCUGCCCCAUACUGCCCCCUAGUGGAGGCUCCCGAGAGAGGAGGAGGGGGAGACCCAGCUCUGGCAGAGCUGUUGAAACCUUUGUCUUCUUUCUGCCUG